rnacentral:rRNA from 1 species
GCUAGUUGUAUUAUUAGUUAAUGCAAGAUCGACUACGUCGACUAAAGUUCUAGGUAGAAUAAUGAUGAUGACAAUUUUUUACCUAUAUGUCUUGACCAAGUCUCGUGCCAGCAGUCGCGGUAAUACGUGGAAGACUAGUGUUAUUCAUCUUUAUUAGGUUUAAAGGGUACCUAGACGGUAUUUCUAGCCCAAAAUAGGGUACGGAUUUACUAGAGUUUUAUGUGAGGAGGGGAGUACUCGUGGAGUAGAGAUGAAAUUUUGUUAUACUAUGAGGUAACUGGUGGCGGCGAAAGCAACCUUCUAUGUAUAAACUGACGUUGAGGGACGAAGGCUUGGGUAGCAAAUAGGAUUAGAUACCCUAGUAGUCCAAGCAGACAAUUCUGAAUGCCAUAGAUUAGAUUAUUUUUGAUCUAUAAAUGAAAGUGUAAGCAUUCCACCUUAGGAGUAAUGUGGCAACACAGGAACUGAAAUCAUUAGACCGUUUCUGAAACCAGUAGUGAAGUAUGUUAUUUAAUUUGAUGGUCCACAAAAAACCUUACCACAACUUGAAUAUUUUUUAAUUAAUACAAGCGUUGCACGGCUGUCUUCAGUUAAUGUCGUGAGAUUUUGGUUAACUCCAUUAAUUAACGUAAACCCUUACUUUAUUUAUUUUUUUUUUU